AAAAAAGUUUAAAUCGGAUCAUUUUUGAAUUCACCUAAAUAAAUCUGUUCUAGGGAGGCAAGCCAGAACUUUACGCCUUAGCCAUUGAUAUUCCUGCAAUAAUGGCUUUACUCAAUGCUGCAGUAGUUCAAAACAGUUUUGUCAAAUAAGAUUUUGCUUUUUUUUUUAUCCACUGAAUCCUGGAGACCAGUAAAAACCCAAUAGGUAUGGUGGUUUUCUUCCCCAGUUGAGCAAUAAGUACAUUAGGCAAUUCAUUUGUCUGAUUCUUCUUUAAUAGAAAAGAUGGUUUUAAAAUGUUUAGAAAUUAAUGCUUCUUUUACAUGGAUACUUCCGUUCUCCAAGCAUCACAUCUCA